rnacentral:rRNA from 1 species
GGAAGCUAGGGGUCGCUGGAACGCUCGGUGGAGCGGUGAAAUGCGUUGAGAUCGAGCGGAACGCCGAAGGUGAAGACAGGCGACUGGGGCUUUCCUGACGCUGAGGCACGAAAGCGUGGGGAUCAAACAGGAUUAGAUACCCUGGUAGUCCACGCUGUAAACGAUGCACACUAGAUCGAUGCGGGUUUGACCCCGUGUUGGUCGGAGAGAAAUUGUUAAGUGUGCCGCCUGGGAAGUACGGUCGCAAGGCUAAAACUCAAAGGAAUUGACGGGGGCUCACACAAGCGGUGGAGCAUGUUGCUUAAUUCGAAGCAACGCGAAGAGCCUUACCUGGGCUUGACAUGCACGGAUCAACUCCAUGAAAGUGGAGCCACAGUCGCAAGACCGGAACGUGCACAGGUGCUGCAUGGCUGUCGUCAGCUCGUGCUGUGAAGUGUCGGGUUAAGUCCCUUAACGAGCGCAACCCCUGUCGCUAGUUGCCAGCGCGUAAUGGCGGGGACUCUAGCGAGACUGCCGGUGUCAAACCGGAGGAAGGUGGGGAUGACGUCAAGUCCUCAUGGCCCUUAUGUCCAGGGUGGCAAACGUGCUACAAUGGCACGCACAGAGCGAUGCAAGGCCGCAAGGCGGAGCAAAUCGCAAAAAGCGUGCCCCAGUUCAGAUUGCGGUCUGCAACCCGACCGCAUGAAGUCGGAAUCGCUAGUAAUCGGGGAUCAGCCAUGCCCCGGUGAAUAAGUUCCUGAGCCUUGUACACACCGCCCGUCAAGUCAUGGGAGCCGGGAGCGCCCGAAGUCGCCACAUCUCAGUGGUGCCAACGGCGAGCUCGGUGACUGGGACUAAGUCGUAACAAGGUAACCGUA